rnacentral:rRNA from 1 species
CCUACGGGCGGCAGCAGUGAGGAAUAUUGGUCAAUGGACGAGAGUCUGAACCAGCCAAGUAGCGUGAAGGAUGACUGCCCUAUUGGUUGUAACCUUCUUUUAUAAAGGAAUAAAACGAGGCACGUGUGCCUUUUUGCAUGUACUUUAUGAAUAAGGAUCGGCUAACUCCGUGCCAGCAGCCGCGGUAAUACGGAGGAUCCGAUCGUUAUCCGGAUUUAUUGUGUUUAAAGGGAUCGUGGAUGGGAUGUUAAGUCAGUUGUGAAAGUUUGUGGCUCAACCGUAAAAUUGCAAUUGAUACUGGCAGUCUUGAGUACAGUUGAGGUAGGCGGAAUUCGUGGUGUAGCGGUGAAAUGCUUAGAUAUCACGAAGAACCCCGAUUGCGAAGGCAGCUUACUAAACUGUGACUGACAUUGAUGCUCGAAAGUGUGGGUAUCAAACAGGAUUAGAUACCCGAGUAGUC